AUUGAACGCUGGCGGCAGGCCUAACACAUGCAAGUCGAGCGGAUGAAGGGAGCUUGCUCCUGGAUUCAGCGGCGGACGGGUGAGUAAUGCCUAGGAAUCUGCCUGGUAGUGGGGGAUAACGUCCGGAAACGGGCGCUAAUACCGCAUACGUCCUGAGGGAGAAAGUGGGGGAUCUUCGGACCUCACGCUAUCAGAUGAGCCUAGGUCGGAUUAGCUAGUUGGUGGGGUAAAGGCCUACCAAGGCGACGAUCCGUAACUGGUCUGAGAGGAUGAUCAGUCACACUGGAACUGAGACACGGUCCAGACUCCUACGGGAGGCGGCAGUGGGGAAUAUUGGACAAUGGGCGAAAGCCUGAUCCAGCCAUGCCGCGUGUGUGAAGAAGGUCUUCGGAUUGUAAAGCACUUUAAGUUGGGAGGAAGGGCAGUAAGUUAAUACCCUGCUGUUUUGACGUUACCAACAGAAUAAGCACCGGCUAACUUCGUG
rnacentral:rRNA from 1 species